GCAGUGGUGGUUCAGUGGUAGAAUAUUUGCCUUCCAUGCAGGAGAACCAGGUUCGAUUCCCGGCCAGUGAA
rnacentral:tRNA from 1 species